CUCCUCUCUGCCGGGGCUGGGGCCUCCGGCUGGGCUGCUGUCUUCUGAGGUUGAGUGGAGUCAGAGCUGGGAGACGUGGGAGCUGGUGGGUCCGAGGGAGGUGUAGGGGACAGUGGAGACGUGCCAAGUCGGUGGGCCUGCACGACCCCUGCAGCAGCCGCCACGAGGGGUUCCGACGCUCAGCUUUCUUGGCCGGGCCCGACUGGGAGUUGCUGGAUGCCCCCGUGAGCAGCUAAGAUGGUCCCUGCGAGUCAGUGCUUUACUCAUGAAGGUCGGAGACGCAAGGGAGCAGCACGUUGUCCAGCCCCUUUCUCAUGCAGAUGGGGAAACUGAGGCCCAGAGUGAGUCAGUUCUCCUGAUUCUACGUGCUUGCCAAAUUACUCUUUACUUAAACGUUUCAAACAGACUUUUCAAAUGUCUUGUCCUGUGUCGUCGGCUGCACACCAUGUUAAGCCUGCUGGCCUUGGGCCUGCCACGCCCCUGGCCCUGUGCAUACAGGGCCUGCAGCACUGAACAAGACUCCAACAGCCGGCCAGUUUGUUCAGACAGGAAGUGGCAGACGGAUCCAGGAGGGAAGAAAAGUCAUUUAAGUGUCACACCUACAGGACACUCAGAACGUGGAUGCACAGGAUGGCGAGAGAUGCUCCUAAAGAAAGCUAUCAGUACCAGAAUCCAAGAAACAGAAAAAAUCUGUGUCGUUUUGGAAGUCUUCCCCAUCUCUGCAAGGCUUAAGAUUUCCCAGACAAUGGCAGCGAGGGACCGGCCCUGUGGAUGAAGCCUACCUUCCAGGGCUACAAAGCUAAGUCCCAUUGAUGAAGUCUGAUACUGUCGUCCACUGUGAGCUCUGAGGACAGAUCCCUAAGAGCCUCUUGGGCAGAAGUUCAUGUGACAUACCUAGGAUGGGAGUGGUCCCACUGCCACACUGAGUUUUAGGCCCGGCUCACAUACAGCUUAGAGCAAGAUGGUGACAGAUGACUCAUCCCCAAAUGACACGACGGAGCAGUCAUGGGAAGGAGGCACCUGUCAGCGUCAAGCUUACCUGGUUUGCUGGUGGACCGCACGUUUAACUGUGGAACAGGAUGCAAGCCUCUUGUCCUUCUAAAACCUUUUUAAAUCUCUCUUCUGCAUCAUGCUCUCCACCUCCUCUCCACUCUGCUCGUCUCCCUUCCACUCUCAGCUUUGUUAUCCAAGCCUAGGUCUUCUGGUUUCCACCGUGUGCCAGAGAAGAUCUGAGCCCAGCGUCACUUGAUUUUGACCAGGGAAGAAAUACUGCAGGUAUCAGCUGGGAGGGCUGGAAAGGCGCUGGUACUGGUGCUGGACAACCUGGGCCUCUAGUCCUGGCUCUACCAGCCUCCAGCCAUCUGACAUGGCGCAGAACCACUUUUCGUCUAUGAGCCUGUUUCCUCAUCUGUAACAUGGGGCUAAUCGCACGUGGAUGGUGUGACAAUGAACUGAGGUUUUAUUUGUGAAAGUGCUUUAUAAACUGCAAAGCUCUGAAUCAAUGUUUAUUCUGGGUUAUUAUGCACUGCUUUGCUAGAGGAUUCUACCAGAGGGAUGGCAGGGAUAAUAACAAAGAGAUCUGUUGUCUGGGGAUAUUUCUGUCACGUAGAUAUAAAUAUAGAUAAAUAUACACCUGUCACAAAAUUUAGACAAAGAAGGAUGUGAACUUUCCUCCCAAUUUUGCCCCCCAGCAGCAACUAUUGAUUGUUGGUUAUAUAUUCUCCAAGAUAUACACAAAAU
ensembl:lncRNA